CCUACGGGUGGCUGCAGUGGGGAAUAUUGGACAAUGGGGGGAACCCUGAUCCAGCCAUGCCGCGUGUGUGAAGAAGGCCCUCGGGUUGUAAAGCACUUUCAGUGAGGAAGAACGCCUGGUGGUUAAUACCCAUCAGGAAAGACAUCACUCACAGAAGAAGCACCGGCUAACUCCGUGCCAGCAGCCGCGGUAAUACGGAGGGUGCGAGCGUUAAUCGGAAUUACUGGGCGUAAAGCGCGCGUAGGUGGCUUGAUAAGCCGGUUGUGAAAGCCACGGGCUCAACCUGGGAACGGCAUCCGGAACUGUCAAGCUAGAGUGCAGGAGAGGAAGGUAGAAUUCCCGGUGUAGCGGUGAAAUGCGUAGAGAUCGGGAGGAAUACCAGUGGCGAAGGCGGCCUUCUGGACUGACACUGACACUGAGGUGCGAAAGCGUGGGUAGCAAACAGGAUUAGAUACCCGAGUAGUC
rnacentral:rRNA from 1 species